CCCUUAGAUGUCCUGGGCCGCACGCGCGCUACACUGAUGCAUUCAACGAGUUCUACCUUGGCCGAGAGGCCUGGGCAAUCUUUUGAACCUGCAUCGUGAUAGGGAUAGAUUAUUGCAAUUAUUAAUCUUGAACGAGGAAUUCCUAGUAAACGCAGAUCAUCAAUCUGCAUUGAUUACGUCCCUGCCCUUUGUACACACCGCCCGUCGCACCUACCGAUUGAAUGGUCCGGUGAAGCCUCGGGAUUGUGGCGAGUUCCCUUUAUUGGGAGUUUGUCGCGAGAACUUGUCUAAACCUUAUCAUUGAGAGGAAGGUGAAGUCGUAACA
rnacentral:rRNA from 1 species